GCCAGGUGCAGUGGCACAUGCCUGUAGUCCCAGCUACACAGGAGGCUGAGGCAGGAGGAUUGCUUGAAGCCAGGAAUUCUGGGCUAUUAUAGUGUGCUAUGCUGACUGGGUGUCAUCAUACUAAGUUUGGCAUCAACAUGUGGAUCUCCUGGGAGUGGUGGACCACCAGGUUUCCUAAGGAGGGGUGAACCUGCCCAGGCCAGAAAUGGAGCAGGUCAAAAUUCCCGUCCCGGUCAGUAGUGGGAUCGCCCCGUGAAGAGCCACGGCACUCUAGCCUGGGCAACAUAGUAAGACCCCAUCUCUU
ensembl:misc_RNA Metazoa_SRP Metazoan signal recognition particle RNA